rnacentral:rRNA from 1 species
UACGUAGGGGGCAAGCGUUGUCCGGAUUUAUUGGGCGUAAAGAGCGUGUAGGCGGCCUUGCAAGUCCGUUGUGAAAACUCGAGGCUCAACCUCGAGACGCCGGUGGAAACUGCAAAGCUAGAGUCCGGAAGAGGAGAGUGGAAUUCCUGGUGUAGCGGUGAAAUGCGCAGAUAUCAGGAGGAACACCUAUUGCGAAGGCAGCUCGCUGGGACGUAACUGACGCUGAGACGCGAAAGCGUGGGGAGCAAACAGG